rnacentral:rRNA from 1 species
CCGGCGACCGGCGCACGGGUGAGUAACACGUAUGCAACCUGCCCGUGGCAGGGGGAUAAGCGGGGGAAACCCCGUCUAAUACCCGCGUAACGCGGCCUUGGGGCAUCCCAAGGCCGCCAAAGGGAGCAAUCCCGGCCACGGAUGGGCAUGCGGCGCAUUAGCUAGUUGGCGGGGCAACGGCCCACCAAGGCGACGAUGUCUAGGGGUUCGUGAGAGGAAGGUCCCCCACACUGGUACUGAGACACGGACCAGACUCCUACGGAAGGCAGCAG